GGGCGAAUGGUUUAGUGGUAUAAUACUCCCUUAGCAUGAGUCAGUCUUCUGAAAAACUCUGGGAGUGGUCCAGGGUUCGAUUCCCUGUUCGUCCA
rnacentral:tRNA from 1 species